ACGGGAGGAAUAUUGGACAAUGGGUUAACGCCUGAUCCAGCCCCGCGUGAAGGACGACUGCCCUAUGGGUUGUAAACUUCUUUUAUACUAGAAUAACCCUGUUUACGUGUAAGCAGUUGAAGGUAUAGUAUGAAUAAGCACCGGCUAACUCCGUGCCAGCAGCCGCGGUAAUACGGAGGGUGCGAGCGUUAUCCGGAUUUAUUGGGUUUAAAGGGUCCGUAGGCGGGCUUGUAAGUCAGUGGUGAAAUCUCUCAGCUUAACUGAGAAACUGCCAUUGAUACUGCAAGUCUUGAGUAAAGUAGAAGUGGCUGGAAUAAGUAGUGUAGCGGUGAAAUGCAUAGAUAUUACUUAGAACACCAAUUGCGAAGGCAGGUCACUAUGUUUUAACUGACGCUGAUGGACGAAAGCGUGGGUAGCGAACAGGAUUAGAUACCCUGGUAGUCCACGCCGUAAACGAUGCUAACUCGUUUUUGGGCUUUAGGGUUCAGAGACUAAGCGAAAGUGAUAAGUUAGCCACCUGGGGAGUACGUUCGCAAGAAUGAAACUCAAAGGAAUUGACGGGGGCCCGCACAAGCGGUGGAGCAUGUGGUUUAAUUCGAUGAUACGCGAGGAACCUUACCAAGGCUUAAAUGGGAAUUGAYAGGUUUAGAGAUAGACUUUUCUUCGGACAAUUUUCAAGGUGCUGCAUGGUUGUCGUCAGCUCGUGCCGUGAGGUGUUAGG
rnacentral:rRNA from 1 species